rnacentral:rRNA from 1 species
AUUGAACGCUGGCGGCGGGCCUAACACAUGCAAGUCGAGCGAGCGGCGGACGGGUGAGUAAUGUAUGGGGACUGCCCGAUCGAGGGGGGUAACUCCUGGAAACGGUAGCUAAUACCGCAUACUAUCGGAUAACCCAUAUGGGAUGAGCUAGUAGGUGUGGUAAUGGAUCACCUAGGCGACGAUCCCGAGCUGGUCUGAGAGGAUGAUCAGCCAAACUGGGACGGAGACACGGCCCAGACUCCUACGGAGGCAGCAGUGGGGAAUAGUGCACAAUGGGCGCAAGCCUGAUGCAGCCAUGCCGCGUGUAUGAAGAAGGCCCUAGGGUUGUAAAGUACUUUCAGUCGGGAGGCGUUACCGACAGAAGAAGCACCGGCUAACUCCGUGCCAGCAGCCGCGGUAAUAC